AAAGGCCAAACUCACGCUACCUGCAGGAGCCAACUGGAAGAGCCCAGACCACUAGGGGCCCGCCGCAACACUAUUUUGAAGGUGUGGACACUGAUGACGAGGCACCACCCCCCCUAAGGAAAACAGCACGACAAUCUGUAGAUGUAGGGCCAGACAUCAAUAGUGAGUGGCUAUUUGGGCCAUCGACCACCCAAAGAGCUCAAUCAAAUGGCAGCCAGAGACUUGAGCUACUACAUCUAGAUACAGUCCAACCAAGCCACCAGCUAUUGCAUGAUAUGGGAAUAUCUAAAGUCGUGGAGCUGCUUUCCAAAGUGCUGGAAGAAAAUAAAUUGAUGAAAGCGGAAAUUACCAACCUGGGGAGUGAAGUGAGGGCGCUUAGGAGAGAGAUGGUGAGGCCGGUAGCACCAGAAGCUGCCGCUUCGUCCAUCAAGCUGCCUCUGAGGACAAUGGAGGAGUUUCAAUUAGCAGAGGCUGUUAUGAGAGAAACCCCCUGCGAAAAACAAAAGAUGAUCUUAACAUUCAGUCUAAUUGGAGGGCACACUGCAGAAGAGGCCGUAAGAAGGAUGUUGCAGAGUGGCCUAACCAAUAACCUGGCGUGUCGCUUCAACUGGGCAGGGAAAGGCUUCAAGGAAGCCUUCAAAAGCACUGUCCUUAGUGAUGUACUGUUCGGUAUGUUUGUCAAAACUCAGUCACAACACACAAGCAUUAGACACAGAUACCACUGAUUAAAAUAAAUGCUUUUAAAACAGCAAGUCGAUUUUUUAAUA